AACUUUGCCAAGUGGCGAUACAGUAACCAAUGAUUGAAUAGAGAGAUACUGUUAUAGCUAGUAGAAAACUAUAACCAGAGUUGAUGUGAAAUAUCGUCAUCUAAUGCAAUUUCUGAAUGCUCUUAUGGGAG